AGCUACCUGCUGAGACCCUCUCACUGUCGAGAACUCCCAUACUCAGGGCCCUCUUUUCCAUCUUAGGUACAAUCAAGUGGCACAGGGAUGACUUAUGAAGGGAUUGUCGGCCAUAAGCUGAAACCUUGUGGCACUAGGGGUUGUACGUACUGCUCCAUAAACUACUGACCUCGACUGAGAUUCCCUGACCCCGCCUCUGACCAAUCCUGGACGUAUUCUACCUUUUACCAAGAGCAGUGACUGUGGUAGGAAAAAUGAGAUAAAGAAUGAGGUUCCAGCUCAAGAUGAUGAUGUAGGAAGAUCCUGAACUCACCUCUACCCAUGGGCAAACUGGUUCUACAGCUACGUAGGAAACAAUUUCCUCCUUAAAAAACCCAGAGCCUAGCUGAAUGAUGACUAUACACCAGAUAGAUAAGAACAACAACAUCUCAAAGUAGGUAGGAGAUGAUGGAACCCAAUUUCACCAUAAACCCCACCCCAGCAUGGUGACCCACAAAUAAGAGGGAACUUGAAACCCAGAGCUUCUGCACUUCUGGGUAUUUAUCCAAAGAAAACAAAAACACUAACUCCAAUAAAUAUCUGAAGCCUUAUGUUCAUUGUAUCAUUUAUAAUAGUCAAGGUGUAGAAACAAUCUGACUGACCAUUGAUGGAUGAAUGGGUAAAAAAAAUAUGUUUUAUAUCACACAAUGGACUAUUAUUCAGCUAUAAAAAAAAGAAUGAAACUUGCCAUCUGUGACAACACGGAUGGGCAGUGAAGGGAUUAUGCUUAAAUGAAAUAAGUUAGACAGAAAUAGACAAAUUUUAUGUGUGGAGUUUAAGGGGAAAACCCCA
ensembl:lncRNA